ACUCCUACGGGAGGCAGCAGUAGGGAAUCUUCCACAAUGGGCGCAAGCCUGAUGGAGCAACACCGCGUGAGUGAAGAAGGGUUUCGGCUCGUAAAGCUCUGUUGUUAAAGAAGAACACGUAUGAGAGUAACUGUUCAUACGUUGACGGUAUUUAACCAGAAAGUCACGGCUAACUACGUGCCAGCAGCCGCGGUAAUACGUAGGUGGCAAGCGUUAUCCGGAUUUAUUGGGCGUAAAGAGAGUGCAGGCGGUUUUCUAAGUCUGAUGUGAAAGCCUUCGGCUUAACCGGAGAAGUGCAUCGGAAACUGGAUAACUUGAGUGCAGAAGAGGGUAGUGGAACUCCAUGUGUAGCGGUGGAGUGCGUAGAUAUAUGGAAGAACACCAGUGGCGAAGGCGGCUACCUGGUCUGCAACUGACGCUGAGACUCGAAAGCAUGGGUAGCGAACAGGAUUAGAUACCCUGGUAGGAUAGCG
rnacentral:rRNA from 1 species